AGAGUUUGAUCCUGGCUCAGAUUGAACGCUGGCGGCAUGCCUUACACAUGCAAGUCGAACGGCAGCAUGAUCUAGCUUGCUAGAUUGAUGGCGAGUGGCGAACGGGUGAGUAAUACAUCGGAACGUGCCCUGUAGUGGGGGAUAACUAGUCGAAAGAUUAGCUAAUACCGCAUACGACCUGAGGGUGAAAGUGGGGGACCGCAAGGCCUCAUGCUAUAGGAGCGGCCGAUGUCUGAUUAGCUAGUUGGUGAGGUAAAGGCUCACCAAGGCGACGAUCAGUAGCUGGUCUGAGAGGACGAUCAGCCACACUGGGACUGAGACACGGCCCAGACUCCUACGGGAGGCAGCAGUGGGGAAUUUUGGACAAUGGGCGAAAGCCUGAUCCAGCAAUGCCGCGUGUGUGAAGAAGGCCUUCGGGUUGUAAAGCACCUUUGUCCGGAAAGAAAUGGCUCUGGUUAAUACCUGGGGUCGAUGACGGUACCGGAAGAAUAAGGACCGGCUAACUACGUGCCAGCAGCCGCGGUAAUACGUAGGGUCCAAGCGUUAAUCGGAAUUACUGGGCGUAAAGCGUGCGCAGGCGGUUGUGCAAGACCGAUGUGAAAUCCCCGAGCUUAACUUGGGAAUUGCAUUGGUGACUGCACGGCUAGAGUGUGUCAGAGGGGGGUAGAAUUCCACGUGUAGCAGUGAAAUGCGUAGAGAUGUGGAGGAAUACCGAUGGCGAAGGCAGCCCCCUGGGAUAACACUGACGCUCAUGCACGAAAGCGUGGGGAGCAAACAGGAUUAGAUACCCUGGUAGUCCACGCCCUAAACGAUGUCAACUAGUUGUUGGGGAUUCAUUUCCUUAGUAACGUAGCUAACGCGUGAAGUUGACCGCCUGGGGAGUACGGUCGCAAGAUUAAAACUCAAAGGAAUUGACGG
rnacentral:rRNA from 1 species